GAUGAACGCUGGCGGCGUGCCUAAUACAUGCAAGUCGAGCGAACAGAUAAGGAGCUUGCUCCUUUGAAGUUAGCGGCGGACGGGUGAGUAACACGUGGGUAACCUACCUAUAAGACUGGGAUAACUUCGGGAAACCGGAGCUAAUACCGGAUAACAUUUAGAACCGCAUGGUUCUAAAGUGAAAGAUGGUUUUGCUAUCACUUAUAGAUGGACCCGCGCCGUAUUAGCUAGUUGGUAAGGUAACGGCUUACCAAGGCGACGAUACGUAGCCGACCUGAGAGGGUGAUCGGCCACACUGGAACUGAGACACGGUCCAGACUCCUACGGGAGGCAGCAGUAGGGAAUCUUCCGCAAUGGGCGAAAGCCUGACGGAGCAACGCCGCGUGAGUGAUGAAGGGUUUCGGCUCGUAAAACUCUGUUAUUAGGGAAGAACAAAUGUGUAAGUAACUGUGCACAUCUUGACGGUACCUAAUCAGAAAGCCACGGCUAACUACAUGCCAGCAUCCGCGGUAAUACCCAGGUGGCAAGCGUUAUCCGGAAUUUAUUGGGCGUAAAGCGCGCGUAGGCGGUUUCUUAAGUCUGAUGUGAAAGCCCACGGCUCAACCGUGGAGGGUCAUUGGAAACUGGGAAACUUGAGUGCAGAAGAGGAAAGUGGAAUUCCAUGUGUAGCGGUGAAAUGCGCAGAGAUAUGGAGGAACACCAGUGGCGAAGGCGACUUUCUGGUCUGUAACUGACGCUGAUGUGCGAAAGCGUGGGGAUCAAACAGGAUUAGAUACCCUGGUAGUCCACGCCGUAAACGAUGAGUGCUAAGUGUUAGGGGGUUUCCGCCCCUUAGUGCUGCAGCUAACGCAUUAAGCACUCCGCCUGGGGAGUACGACCGCAAGGUUGAAACUCAAAGGAAUUGACGGGGACCCGCACAAGCGGUGGAGCAUGUGGUUUAAUUCGAAGCAACGCGAAGAACCUUACCAAAUCUUGACAUCCUUUGAAAACUCUAGAGAUAGAGCCUUCCCCUUCGGGGGACAAAGUGACAGGUGGUGCAUGGUUGUCGUCAGCUCGUGUCGUGAGAUGUUGGGUUAAGUCCCGCAACGAGCGCAACCCUUAAGCUUAGUUGCCAUCAUUAAGUUGGGCACUCUAGGUUGACUGCCGGUGACAAACCGGAGGAAGGUGGGGAUGACGUCAAAUCAUCAUGCCCCUUAUGAUUUGGGCUACACACGUGCUACAAUGGACAAUACAAAGGGCAGCUAAACCGCGAGGUCAUGCAAAUCCCAUAAAGUUGUUCUCAGCUCGGAUUGUAGUCUGCAACUCGACUACAUGAAGCUGGAAUCGCUAGUAAUCGUAGAUCAGCAUGCUACGGUGAAUACGUUCCCGGGUCU
rnacentral:rRNA from 1 species